AAAAUCAGCUCCAUUCUUUCACUGGUAGUUUCCCAACAAAUGAUAUAUUUGCUUUCAAUCCUAUAAUAAUCUAAAGUGAACCAAAGUGCAAGAAACUUGGAAAUAGAACUGGUAAAAUUGCAAUUCUCCAGCACAUCUCAAGUCUUGCAACCUUCAUGCCAGCGUAACCAAACAUCAGGCUGACUCUGUUUGAUCUUGAAAAGGAUAUAAGCCUAAAGCCGUUCCUGCGUGAGAUGUCCUUCUUUAAAAAGAUUCUAAUCUCAACCGAAAUGUCUAGCAAAAUAGAGGUCAUCGUGCCAGAGCAUCCAGCAGACAAUAGCGCUUGGCUGCAGACCUGAGAGGAAUGCUUUGAGGAUUUGUUCCUGUGUCUUACCUGAGAGACAUGGGGACAUCAAUGGCUGAAAGAGCAGUUACGAAAACAAGUAAAUUCUCAAGCACUGCCAGGUACUUCCCUCCCAUUGAUAAUUUGACGGCUGAUAGCAGCAUAUCCGUACCUUGCACGCUGCUCAUGAUUCAAUGAUCCCUCACCAAGCUCACCCAUCCAUAAAAAUCCCAUCUCAAGGAGAGCAGAGGUGAGGUCUCUCACUCUCACUCCCUCUCUCCUGCUCUUGUUCUCUUUCACUUUCUCCCUUUCGCUUACACAUGCACACAAACAAAGCUCUUCUUUCUGUGUCAUAACUACUCCCACAAUUACUCAGACGGUUACUCAGAUCAAUGGUUUACCUGCCUGCUUGAGCUGCUGUAUUCUGCUACAGAGUGUCCUGGUGAGGCAGAAAAACCUCCAGGCUGAACGCAUUAAACAGGGUGUCUGACAUGGGUACAGGAUACUGUAAUACCACGCAAUAACAUGAGGGAAAACAGCAAGACUGGCAAAACGUAUUGUCAGUCACAGCUGUCACACAUGAGGGGGUAACGCAAAAGUCUAUCAACAAUGUUACAGUCUGCAUCCCUAUUUCAUAGAUCUGCACAAGCAGUCCCCUCCCAUUAAAUCUCUCAAAACAUUCUCUUUCAAAUAAAUACCAAAAAGAUUUGGUGCAGCAGAGCUCUCCUAGUGACAGAAAUCCAGUGAGGAGUCUAACAAGGGGUUGGGGGUGAUUUUAGACUCU
rnacentral:lncRNA from 15 species